UACGUAGGGUGCGAGCGUUGUCCGGAAUCACUGGGCGUAAAGGGCGCGUAGGUGGCCCGACAAGUCUGUGGUGAAAGCUCGACGCUCAACGUCGAGUCGGCCAUAGAUACUGUUGGGCUGGAGCACUGUAGAGGCUCAUGGAAUUCCGGGUGUAGCGGUGGAAUGCGUAGAGAUCCGGAAGAACACCGGUGGCGAAGGCGGUGAGCUGGGCAGUAGCUGACACUGAGGCGCGACAGCGUGGGGAGCAAACAGG
rnacentral:rRNA from 1 species